AUUGAACGCUGGCGGCAGGCCUAACACAUGCAAGUCGAGCGGAUGAAGGGAGCUUGCUCCUGGAUUCAGCGGCGGACGGGUGAGUAAUGCCUAGGAAUCUGCCUGGUAGUGGGGGAUAACGUCCGGAAACGGGCGCUAAUACCGCAUACGUCCUGAGGGAGAAAGUGGGGGAUCUUCGGACCUCACGCUAUCAGAUGAGCCUAGGUCGGAUUAGCUAGUUGGUGGGGUAAAGGCCUACCAAGGCGGCGAUCCGUAACUGGUCUGAGAGGAUGAUCAGUCACACUGGAACUGAGACACGGUCCAGACUCCUACGGGAGGCAGCAGUGGGGAAUAUUGGACAAUGGGCGGAAGCCUGAUCCAGCCAUGCCGCGUGUGUGAAGAAGGUCUUCGGAUUGUAAAGCACUUUAAGUUGGGAGGAAGGGCAGUAAGUUAAUACCUUGCUGUUUUGACGUUACCAACAGAAUAAGCACCGGCUAACUUCGUG
rnacentral:rRNA from 1 species